rnacentral:lncRNA from 1 species
UAUAAUUUACAGUAUUUUCUGUCCACCGCACGUGACGUCACAACUCAACCGCCUCCUCACUCCCUGUGCGUCUGUCAGCGCAGGUCCGUCAAGGUCUCACUCGGCCCUCUUCACUUCACUUCAAGGAUGCCUUAGGAGAGCUGCCAAACACACCCUGUAUCAUCAUAAUGGAUGAACGACAGUACAAGCUGGCAGUGGAUCAAGUUACUUUUAACAAGCACAUUAGCUGUCGUCUGGUGGAGUUCAGCUGUAUGUUCAGCCUCUUUUAUGUACUUAACAUAAAAUAUCUGAAGGAAGCAGCCCUGACACUAGAGUUCAUCCAGAGGUAUGUUUUGGCAAUGCCCAUUUUAUCGUGUACUGUACUGUACUGUACUUAAUGUUGCAAUACCAAGUGACAUGAUACAUUUUGUGUUUGCCACAGGAGCCUGCUGGGUAUCAACCCCGAAAGAGGGUCGAAGGCUGAAAAAAAAGGUGCAAAACAGUACAAUGUCCCCCCAAAACUGCUGCGAUUCCUAUCAGAUCUGAAUGACUUUAAGAAUCCUUGAAAGAUAUAAAGGUCAUUACACACUCUCCUUUGUUACUAACACACUCUCUCUCUCUUGUCUGUCUCACUCAAGUCUUUGGUCACAAGUCCAAAUCAAGUUUCAAGUCCCUUGAAAAUUAAAGCCUCGUUGUGAUGAGCCUUCCAUCAUCUGCUGCGAUCUGGUCUGCUAAGAAUACUGCACAGUUAUAUCUAAGAAAUUCAAAG